rnacentral:rRNA from 1 species
UGUAAAUUUUUAAAGGUCGAACAGACCCAAUAUUUUAGCUUCUACACCAAAAAUUUAUUUUAAUCCAACAUCGAGGUCGCAAUCUUUUCUUUUAAUAUGAACUUUCUAAAAAAAUUACGCUGUUAUCCCUAAGGUAAUUUUAUCUUAUAAUCAAAAUUAUUGGAUCAUUUACUCAUAAAUUUAUGAUUUUAAAUAAAAAAAGUUAAUUAAAUUUUUCAAUCACCCCAAUUAAAUUAUUUUAUAAAAAUACUAAAUCAAUUCUUAAAUUAUAAUUUUAUAAAAUAAUUAAACUCUAUAGGGUCUUCUCGUCUUUUAAUUGUAAUUAAGCUUUUUAACUUAAAAAUAAAAUUCUAUAUAAAUUUAAUAGAGACAGCUAUUUUCUUAUUCAACCCUUCAUUCCAGUUUUCAAUUAAAAAACUAAUGAUUAUGCUACCUUAGCACGGACAAUAUACCACGGCCAUUUAAAACUUCAGUGGGCAGGUUAGACCUUAAAUUAUAAACAAAAGGAC